CAGAUCAUGUACCACGUGUUAGCAGUGUCAGUGUUAUUGCGUCUAUUCCUAUUGUCGCAAGAGGCCAGUGGCUGGCUCAGCGAUAGAAUUGAACUAUCAACACCACUCAACUCAUGGACACGCUUAAAAGAGGGUGUGGCUUUAAAGGAGGCGGGGCUAUCUUCUUAUCAAAGUGAUCUAUUUCAUGAGACCCCUCUAGUGUUGUUUUUAUUUCAAUAUUUGCUACCUCUGGGUGACGUAAUUAAUGGAUUAUUUUUUAUUGU